GGUUACAGCAAUAUCACUUAAAAUGCACCGGUCCUUGCCCGCUCACCGAAGUUAAACAACGUCGAGCCUAGUUAGUACUUAGAUGGGUGACCGAUUGGAAAACCUAGAUGCUGUAAGCA
rnacentral:rRNA from 1 species